rnacentral:sRNA from 1 species
AACGAUUCAACCCUCCGGGCAAUGUCACCGUACAUUGCAACACGACGCACUGCAUCGUACGGUGGAAACAACCCAGGACCUACCAGAAGCUGUCGUACCUGGACUUUCAGUACCAGCUGGACGUCCACAGAAAGAAUACCCAGCCUGGCACGGAAAACCUACUGAUUGAUGUUUCUGGUGAUUUGGAAAAUAGAUACAACGUUCCAAGCGCUGAGCCCAGAGCAAAACAUAAUGUGAAGAUCAGAGCUGCAGAUGUCCGCAUCCUGAAUUGGAGUUCGUGGAGUGAAGCUGCUGAAUUUGGCUCUGACGACAGAAACCUCAGCUCUGUGUACAUUUAUGUGCUCCUGAUCGUGGGAACCCUUGUCUGUGGCAUCGUCCUCGGCUUCCUCUUUAAAAGGUUCCUUAGGAUACAGCGACUGUUCCCGCCAGUUCCGCAGAUCAAAGACAAACUGAAUGAUAAUCAUGAGGUGGAAGACGAGAUCAUCUGGGAGGAAUUCACCCCAGAGGAAGGGAAAGGCUACCGAGAAGAGGUCUUGACUGUGAAGGAAAUUACCUGAGACCCAGAGGGUGUAGGAAGGGCAUGGACAUCUCCGCCUCCACGACACUGGGGAACUGUUUUCUUGUUGAUGAUGCUGUGAGCCUUUAUAUCAUUUUUUAUGUUUUUAUUUAAAAACAUGAUAUUUGGGGCCAGGCGCGGUGGCUCAUGCCUGUAAUCCCAGCACUUUGGGAGGCCAAGGCGGGCAGAUCACCUGAGGUCAGGAGUUCAAGACCAGCCUGGCCAACAUGGUGAAACCCCAUCUCUACUAAAAAUGCAGAAAUUUACACCCAGGCAUGGUGGUGGACUCCUGUCAUCCCAGCUACUCGGGAGGCUGAGACAGGAGAAUCGCUUGAACCCAGGAGGCAGAGGUUGCAGUGAGCCAAGAUCGCGCCAUUGUAUGCCAACUUGGGUAACAGAGCAAGAUUGCAUCUCAAAACAAAUAAUAAUAAUAAAUAAAAUAAUACUAAAAGCAUAAUAUUUGUCUGGG